GAGAAUGGUUGCUUCUUUACGAAGGAACUUCUUGUGGCUCUCCUUCAUUGCUUUGGAAUAAUAUUGUCGGUGAUGUGUCGGUGAAGAGGAUAUACACGUGGCUGGAGUAGGAAAGCUCUGGGCAACUGAUGAUGAUUGAUAAGAGAUAUAGGGAAUAUUUUGGUUCGUGUGAGCAACACGUAUGAGUCUUCAACGAAGAGGGAAGGGACACGUCAGUAGCUGAUUUGACCCCAAAUUCGUCAUAUCAGUGAAUAGUGACGAAGGAAUCUUUACUAUGCAUUUGUCGCUUCUAUUUGAAAAGCAUCUUUGUACUAUUGUGCUGUCGAAUCGGUCGGAUGAAGGGAAUCUUUUCUUGUCAUUUUGCAGAGGUGUUUUGUCGUUUUUUGUGAGAGGAUAGAAGGGAAUCUUUUUGCAGAAGGAUUAGAUUUUAUCAAUCUGGGAAUGAGCUGUCGGGUCAUCGGGUCGGAGAUGAUUUGUCGAUUGGAUUAUUCUGUGGGCCUUUGGCUGAAAUCUUCCAGGAGGGGAUUUCCAGACUGGACUGUUUCUUCUGAGGUUGCUGGCCUGGUGGUAUCAGGAGCAAAGACAUGUAACAAUGUUUGUUCUAUUUCUUCAAUCGUGGCAUUGGGGUGUGACUGUUUCAG
rnacentral:lncRNA from 1 species